rnacentral:rRNA from 1 species
AUUGAACGCUGGCGGCAUGCUUUACACAUGCAAGUCGAACGGCAGCGCGGGCUUCGGCCUGUCUUCGAGUGGCGAACGGGUGAGUAAUGCAUCGGAACGUGCCCAGUAGUGUGGGAUAGCCCGGCGAAAGCCGGAUUAAUACCGCAUACGACCUGAGGGUGAAAGCGGGGGAGCGAAAGGCCUCGCGCCAUUGGAGCGGCCGAUGUCGGAUUGGCUAGUUGGUGGGGUAAAGGCUUACCAAGGCGACGAUCCGUAGCUGGUCUGAGAGGACGACCAGCCACACUGGGACUGAGACACGGCCCAGACUCCUACGGGAGGCAGCAGUGGGGAAUUUUGGACAAUGGGGGCAACCCUGAUCCAGCCAUGCCGCGUGCGGGAAGAAGGCCUUCGGGUUGUAAAGCGCUUUUGUUCGGGAAGAAAUGCUCUGGGCUAAUACCCCGGGGGGAUGACGGUACCGGAAGAAUAAGCACCGGCUAACUACGUG